UACGUAGGGCGCAAGCGUUAUCCGGAAUUAUUGGGCGUAAAGAGCUCGUAGGCGGUUUGUCGCGUCUGCCGUGAAAGUCCGGGGCUCAACUCCGGAUCUGCGGUGGGUACGGGCAGACUAGAGUGCGGUAGAGGGGUGUGGAUUCCCGGUGUAGCAGUGAAAUGCGUAGAUAUCCGGAGGAACACCGGUGGCGAAGGCGGCUUCCUGGACCGACACUGACGCUGAGGCGCGAAAGCUAGGGGAGCAAACGGG
rnacentral:rRNA from 1 species